ACAAAAAAAGAGGCCUGAACGAAUCGUAAUCUCUUUCUCAAUCUCAUCUCUCUCUCUCUCUCUCUCUCUCUCUCGAACUCCCAGGUCUCUCUGCAUCUCCCCAUGAUGACCAGAUCCAUGUCUCUCAAAUUGGAGCAAGGAAUUUGGGCAUGGAUCCCUCUCUCAAUCACGUCUCUCUCUUUCUCUCAAACUCUCAGGUCUCUUCUCUCCUCACCUCAAAUUGCAGCAAGGACUCUUUUAUCCUCACCUCAAAUUGCAUCAAGGACUCUUCUAUCCUCACCUCAAAUUGCAGCAAGGACGUUGGGGCGUGGAUCUCCUGCGCUCAACGAGGUCAAAUUCUUUUGCUUUCAAUUGAAACAAUGACAUACGAUAUGCUCGAUGCGAUUAACAAUGGGAAGGAUUCCUGGAAAGUGAAGGUCAGAGUAAUUAGGCUAUGGGAUGCCAUUAACCUCAAUAACAAUGAACUAAUUAGCCUUGACAUGAUACUGCUUGAUGAACAGGGCACUAUGAUACAUGCCAAGGUAAUAAAACAUAUGGUUAACAAGUUCAGGCCAUUGAUCCAAGAAGGUUUAGUCUACAUGAUAGCAAAUUUCAAGGUUACAUCUGCCAUGAAUUUCCGUCCAGUUGAAGGCGACAAGAUUAUUAACUUCUUGCACACAACAAAAAUUCAAGAGAUUAAGGGACUUAAAAAUAUCAGAAUAGCAGAACAAAGUUUCAUGUUUUGUAGUGUUGAAGUUCUUUCCACAAGAGAUGGCCAGAGGAUGUACUUAUCCGAUGUCAUUGGGGUAGCAAGUUAUAUAGGGAAUAUUGAAGAGACGGAGACAACACAUGGGAUUUCCAAGAUUCGAGAUAUUGUACUUCGAAUUGAGGAUCAAAAAGUUAAUAUUAGACUCUGGGGCAAUAAGGUCGACCAAAUUGAUGAAGAUUCUAUGGGACGUGUUGUCAUAGUAACAUCAACAACGGUCAGAAAACUGAAAGAGUACUCGCUGUCAUCUACAGGUGCGACCAAAGUAUAUAUCGAUUUGGAUAUCCCUGAAACAGCUGAGCUCCAAACGAGGUAUUGCUUGGAAGAUGAUAUCAUAGAGGAAACACGGCCGGAAGCCCACUUGCAAGGAACAAUUCAAGAACAAAUGCUCUAUAACAGAAAGACACUAAGAGAAAUAACUGAAAUUGCAUAUGAAUCUGAAAAACAGGAAAAGUUCUAUACUGCAGAAGCAACCAUUAAGUCAAUUGAUACAUCAGAUGAGUGGUACUACAUAGGAUGCGGCAAAUGUAACAAAAAACUACAAAAAGAAGGGAAUCACUUCUACUGUCCAAAAUGUGAGAAAGAACCUGAGAAGACAUGUCCAAGGUACAAACUUAAGCUAGAGAUAUGUGAUCAUACUGCAACAACAACUUGCACCAUGUUUGAGACAGAAGCAAAAAAAACUGAUUAAGCAAUCUGCAAGAUUCUUGAUAGAUAGGGAUGACUGUGAUAUCCAUGAGCAGGCAGAAAAAUUUCAGAAAAUAUGUGGGCAGAGAUUGAUUUUUCAGUUCAGACUGAAUGACUAUAAUUUCAAGUACGGUUACCAAGAUUACAUUGUUCAUAGAAUUUUUUUAUGGACUCUGAAGAAGAUUCAUCGGUACAACACGUUAAUGUUGAACAGAACACUACGAAGGGCACUAAAAAGUAUAGGACUAGGAACACAUGUCGCGUUGUACAUUCUGAUGAAGAAUCAGAAGAGGAUAGGCAGGAGAAAGAUGAAUGCAAAUUCAAGGAAUCUAGCCCCAAAAGAAAGCGUACAAUAAGCAUUACUGAAGACGAAGAUUCUGAAAAAGAUGGAACUGAGAAUUAUUCAAAGACCAGCAUAAGGCUUACUGGUGUUGAUAAGGGAUCUAAGAAGAAAGGAAUUCAGAAUGAUAACCAUGAGCAAGUGAACAAAUUAUCACUUUCAAAAAAUAUAAAGCAAGAAUCAGAGGAUGAUGAACUCACUAUUGACCAGACUAAAAGGGGUAGGAGACGGAGCACAAGUCGUGCUGCACAUCUUGACGAUGAAUCAAAAGCUGAAGGUAGUCAGGAAAUAAACAAAUCCAAAUCUACGGAAUCAAGCCCCAAGAGGAAGCGUGUUGUACGCAAAUGCGCCAGUGUUGAUUAGGAGCACAAUGAUUCAAGGCCUAGGACAAGGCUUAGUUGUGUCGAUAAAAAAUCACUGAGCAAAGGCAUUCAGAAGUCUGGUGUAUCAAGGACUCGAAAGACAAGUCGCGGCCUAGGACAAGGCUUAGUUGUGUCGAUAAAAAAUCACUGAGCAAAGGCAUUCAGAAGUCUGGUGUAUCAAAGACUCGAAAGACAAGUCGCUAAUUAGUGGAGAUCUGUUAAUUUAGGAUGUAGUAUAAUAGAUGGGAGCAUCACAUUUGUACUUUAUAUGAACUUCGUCAUUGUUUAAGAUAUUUUUAAUAAACGUAAAGGCAUACCUUUGUGUUAGUAA